AGAGAGAGAGAGAGAGGAAAGGAGAGGGGACAUAGUAAGUGAGCGAGUGAAUAAAAAAUGCAAGAAAUGAAGAAGAAAAACGAUGGUGGCAAUGCAGAUUCCAAGAAGAAGGAAAGACAUAUAGUUACCUGGACUCAACAGGAGGAUGAUAUUCUCCGCCAGCAAAUAAGCUUACAUGGAACUGAAAAUUGGGCGAUCAUUGCUUCUAAAUUCAAGGACAAAACAACAAGACAGUGUAGAAGAAGAUGGUACACAUAUUUGAAUUCUGAUUUCAAGAAGGGCGGAUGGUCGCCAGAGGAAGACAUGCUUUUGUGUGAGGCCCAGAAAAUAUUUGGUAACAGAUGGACAGAAAUAGCAAAAGUUGUUUCUGGCAGAACGGAUAAUGCUGUGAAGAAUCGGUUCUCUACUCUAUGUAAAAAGAGAGCUAAAUAUGAGGCUUUAGCGAAAGAGAAUAAAAAUACAUAUAUCAACUCCAACAACAAAAGAAUCCUAUUCCAUAUUGGGUUUAAUGAAGAUGGAACACCAGCAAAUACAGCACCGGCUAAAAAGAUGAGGUAAAACGGUUUAAAUAUCUGCAUACUUUAACAGUAGUCAAUUCCAAACGGACUUCAACUAGUAAAACUCAUGUUUGGUGUUAUUCAGGAGGUCGCACAUCCCUGAUCAUUCAGAACAUUGCAAAUUGGCAGAUAGAUCACACCUGAAAUGUGGAAAUCAGCAGCCUAGGCCUCCAUUUGCAGUGUUGGCUCAAAAUUUCCACAAUGUUAAAGUGGAUGACCAGCAUCAUGCCAUCAAUGCCAAGGAGGUCUCCAUUCAUGGUACAAAGAUUUUUUGAAUUAUGAUGUGAUUAGAUUGCCAUGCAAAACUGGGAAGCACAUUAAGAGUCACAAAAGAAAAAAACAAGUUCUGCAAUUUUUCAUCUUGAAUAAUUUAGUUUGUUUUGAUCUAAAUCUAACCUCUUCAAAAUUUAAUGUCUCUUUCUUCCUGUUUGUUUAGCAUCUCAAAACAGUAAGAUUCAAGGAACAUUUCUCAGAAAGGAUGAUCCAAAGAUAACUGCUCUGAUGCAACAAGCACAGCUUCUCAGUUCACUUGCAUUGAAAGUUGAUACAGAGAAUACAGACAAGAGUCUGGAAAAUGCAUGGAAGGUGAGCUCAUCUAAUGCACUUGUAUAGGAACAGUCUUUAACUAGCAUAUUUAGUUGUGGAACUAGAAUCUCUACCUUGGGGAACAGACAUUUUAAGGAGGAGGUCGCAGGGUGUUUGGAAUGCGCAUGGUCAUUGAUAGUUAUGGGGACCAGACAUAAGCAUAACGCCAUGGAUAGUGCAAAUGGCGUUUCAACUUGAUUAUUCUUAAAGAUAAUAGAUGUAAUCAUCUUCUAAAUUAGUUUUGCCUUCUUUUCAGGGCAAGAAUAUGCUCAGGCGUUAAAAAAAGGACUAAUUGAUUACAUAAUUUUUAACAAACUUAGUGACAAGAGGACCCUAAGCUUCUUCUUUGAGAGGAAGUGAUGUGAUGCAUACAAAUUUAACGUGUACUCAUAUUUUUCAGUAAAUGUGAUUUUCAGGUCCUUCAAGAUUUUCUCAGUCAGAAAGAAAAUGAUACCCUCAGAUAUAGAUUUGCUGACACUGAUUUUCAACCCAAAGACUUUAAAGACUUGAUAGAGGAUUUAAGGAGUAGUAAUGAUGGAAGUCGACCAUCUUGGAGGUGAUAAAAGCUGUGUAGUCUGGAAUUUUGUUUUAAGCAAGUUCUGCACAUCACAGAGUGUCUAAUUUCUGGUUAACAUUGUAGGCAAUCUGAUCUAUAUGAGGAGUCUCCAGCCAGCUCCGAAUACAGUACAGGAUCAACUCUAAUGCCUUGCACAGCUCCUGACAAAACAGAACAAACUCAGGUUGAGAUUGGUGCACUGCAUGAGGACUUUCCAAUUGAAUUACAAUCAGUUCAUGUGAAAGAGCAAAGAGAUGUGGAUGAUUGCGAGAAAGAAUCUAUUUCGUGUGCAAACAUAACUCAAGGGGUGAUAUUUCCAUCUUUUGAUCAGCAAGCCCACAAUGACACAGUUGUUUCUGCCUCAUCAAGUACAGAGUUCAGUUCACCCAUUCAAGUUACUCCACUUUUCAGAUCAUUAGCAGCAGGGAUUCCCAGCCCAAAAUUUUCAGAAAGUGAAAGGAACUUCCUAUUAAAAACACUUGGAGUGGAGUCUCCUUGUCCCAAUCCAAGCAUCAAUCCUUCUCAACCGCCCCUUUGCAGAAGAGCCCUCCUCCAAAGUCUAUAACAAACCUCUCUGAACCAUCUCACCUACAGAAAAUGGUCUAGCCCUUUCUUUUCUUCUCUUGUUUAAUGUCAGUUUCCUAGGAUUGCAGCCAUCAUGGCCCAAAGUUUUAUUAGGAGGCAUAUUAGAUCUGCAUUCCAAGACUCAUUGUCUAGAAUGCAAUGGUGCAUUCUAGCAUCUGAGACACAUCUAACGAUGUGAUCUGAGUUCAUUUUUCUUUUCCCUUAUUAGAAAGUAAGACCCUAAUACUCACAUUUAAAACCAGUGUGCUUGUUAAUGUGUGUCAUUCUUUUGUUUGUCUUGAUUUGGUUUCGGGUGUUCCAUCUUCCGAUCCAGUUUUUGGCCUUUGAUUCGUCAUCUGUACAGAACCUACUAUAUGAUUUAGUAUUUAGAAUGUAAUUAUACUUUGGCAACUCGCCUAUAUAUAAUUAAAGAAGCAGAGGAAAAAGGAAAAAAAAAAUUAGAGGAUUAACCAGCUGAUUGGAUUCCUUUUUGGUGUUUUUGAGUGUGCAUAGGGCAUAGAAUAAGUUUCUCCCCUUUCCCUUUUCAGAUUUCUAAUGUAAUAGAACUCUUGUGAUUGGAAUGAAAAUGUGUUUUGGUGUUGGUGUGCAA
rnacentral:misc_RNA from 1 species